rnacentral:rRNA from 1 species
CCACCCUUUAAUGUUUGAUGUUCUAACGUUGGCCCCUGAUCGGGGUUGCGGACAGUGUCUGGUGGGUAGUUUGACUGGGGCGGUCUCCUCCUAAAGAGUAACGGAGGAGCACGAAGGUUGGCUAAUCCUGGUCGGACAUCAGGAGGUUAGUGCAAUGGCAUAAGCCAGCUUGACUGCGAGCGUGACGGCGCGAGCAGGUGCGAAAGCAGGUCAUAGUGAUCCGGUGGUUCUGAAUGGAAGGGCCAUCGCUCAACGGAUAAAAGGUACUCCGGGGAUAACAGGCUGAUACCGCCCAAGAGUUCAUAUCGACGGCGGUGUUUGGCACCUCGAUGUCGGCUCAUCACAUCCUGGGGCUGAAGUAGGUCCCAAGGGUAUGGCUGUUCGCCAUUUAAAGUGGUACGCGAGCUGGGUUUAGAACGUCGUGAGACAGUUCGGUCCCUAUCUGCCGUGGGCGCUGGAGAACUGAGGGGGGCUGCUCCUAGUACGAGAGGACCGGAGUGGACGCAUCACUGGUGUUCGGGUUGUCAUGCCAAUGGCACUGCCCGGUAGCUAAAUGCGGAAGAGAUAAGUGCUGAAAGCAUCUAAGCACGAAACUUGCCCCGAGAUGAGUUCUCCCUGACUCCCUGAGAGUCCUGAAGGAACGUUGAAGACGACGACGUUGAUAGGCCGGGUGUGUAAGCGCAGCGAUGCGUUGAGCUAACCGGUACUAAUGAACCGUGAGG